UACGUAGGGUGCGAGCGUUAUUCGGAAUUACUGGGCUUAAAGCGUGCGCAGGCGGUUUUGUAAGUCAGAUGUGAAAUCCCCGGGCUUAACCUGGGAACUGCGUUUGAAACUACAAGGCUAGAGUGUGGCAGAGGGGGGUGGAAUUCCACGUGUAGCAGUGAAAUGCGUAGAGAUGUGGAGGAACACCGAUGGCGAAGGCAGCCCCCUGGGUUAACACUGACGCUCAGGCACGAAAGCGUGGGGAGCAAACAGG
rnacentral:rRNA from 1 species